AGCAGACGAGGAGCGACCGGACCGUGGCGUCGCAGCGGCGGUGGCGUCCCUGAAAUAUCAAGAACGACCUCGCUGCACCAAACGUUUUUCUGCCUGCAGUCGUUCACCUGAGCCUCGUCUGAAAGGCCUGCUGGGAAAUCACGCCGACCUUGUGGGAGUAACGCUCGCCGAGGGCUGCGGAGAAACUCAGGAAAACUCAUUUCUGUCAUCAGGAGGACACCGACGGAAAGUACAAAGACACAGAGAUCAGAGAGGCCCCAUACCACUUUUGUGCUGACCUUAAAAAGAGAGGCGCACUGUGCAAACAUCUGGUCCAUCAGCUGGAUCCUAUGCAUCAGCGGGCACAGGGACACACUGGGACAGCAUGAGGAGGACAGUCCUGAGGAAGAAAACGGCGCUGGUUGAUCCUCUUCUCCAUCAGCAAUGCCAGGAGCAAAAAAGAGGAGAAGAAGGUGGAGGUGGCAGGAAACUAAGAGAAGAGGAGUAAAAAGGCAAGUAAAUCUCGAAAGAAAGAGUUACUGUUUUCAGGCUGGUUGCUAAUUAUUCAUUUUGUAUUUGACAAAAGCAUGAAAGAAACAGACGAAUACAAGGCACACAACAAGAAUGAGCAUUUCUGAGCUUUCCGUUACAUUUGGAAAGCUGAACUCAGGAAUCAAUGAAUAAUAAAAUAUUUAGCUCCAUUAGCACUAAAUGUACUUUUCCUGAUAAAUUGUAAAGCACCAAUUUACUUUACUGUUUAGUAAACUUUUGUGUCUUUGACACAUGGUUGAAUUUAGCGCUUUAGCAUUAGCUUAAUACUCUGUUGGAAUAGGGCAUUAUUUGUUCACAUUAGCAAUGCUAGCUGCUGUGUUAGCACAGUUAGACCAGCGUUGUUUCUAAUCAAUAAAACAUCCUGUGUCCAAUUUACAAAUAUAUUCCAGUCAUCAUCCAUAUUUGCACUGGUGGACGCUGCUAACUAGAAGUUAGAGGACUAAUCGUAAACAUUAGUUCUGCUAAUGCUAGCGUGCUAUAGUAACAUAUUAUUCAGCAGAAGCUAAUGAUAAAGCGCUAAAUUCAACCAUCUGUCAAAGACUCAAAAGUUUACAAAACAAAAAGUAAAUAAGUGCUUUAGGAUUCAUCAGGAAAAGUUAACUUAAGUGUGACAAACAUUUUCAAAGUUAGCAAAAUGCUUAAGCAUUAAGUGAAAAAUUAGCUCCUGUGUUAGCGCAUUAGCGGGUUAGCAGAAGUGUUUUAAAGAGUAGCUUGGCUACAGUAUAUUUUAUUGUCACAAAAUGCUUUUAAAAGUAAAUAACUGCUUUGAAAACAGUGGAAAUGUUCCAGUAUUUGUAGGUGUAAUGGCGAGUAAAACAUUUUCCGUUUAAUUUUCUGGGUCAAAGGAGUUAAACACACCAGAUGCAAACACUUCAGAUAAAGUUGGUCGUCUCCACAUUUCCCUGUUUUUCAUUUGGUUUUCCUGCAAGGUUAGCGCCGUUGGCACUGGAACGCGGGUGUAUCCUCAUCCACCUCCGAUGUCAGGAUUUUCUGGGGAGGUGUCACUCAGGCGGUUCCUGAAACACCUUGGUGAGCCAAUUACACCGCGGCUGUCAGAGCCAAUAGCAAGCGGCGCCUCACACUCCGACACCCACAGCUUGGCUGGAGUGAAACAAAACAUGAAAACGGAAUCCGGCUCUGGCGACCUUUCACCCCGCAACAUGCAAUUUUCAUAAGAGUAAUUAGCAUAAUGUCCCGGCUCCUGCAGAUCGCCUCUGACUUGUUUUGACCUUAAAGAUUUUUGCAUUUUGAGAUUAAUUUAGUAAACAGAAGUGAUUUAAUGGCUUUGUAAGUUGGAUUAAUAACACAUGUUUAAUGAUUCUGGUAUGAUUUAUUUCAUUUUGAGCAAAAAUUUAGAAAUUUAGGGGCUCAAAAGUUAGCAAUAGCAUAGCAUCUGUUUAUUUGUAUUUCAUAUUUUUCCAAACAAAAUGUAUAAAUCAGAUAAAA